rnacentral:lncRNA from 1 species
GCUUGGGUAGGGGGGUUAAGGUGGGUAGUGGAGGCUGGGGCACAUGGGAGGUGGAUUGUGGCUGGAAUGAGUGGUUGGUCAAGUGAGAUGGUGAGUUUGGAUUUGGAAGGGGAGAUGGUUGACUUGGGUGAGGGGUUUAGCUAUGGAGGGGGAGGCGGCUAGGGAGUUGGAGGCGGAAGGGGGUAGGAGUUUGGCUUACGAUGGAGGAGGUGGUGAAUUUUUUUGCUUUUUCUUUUUUCUUUUUUUAAAUGAUUUACAUAUGUAUUUUUAUUUAAAUCCACAUGACGUCAUAUCAUUGGAUAUGUGAGGAGCACAUGUGUGCUACAUCAUCAAUAUAACAGACUUUUGCACGGAACAUGACAGCAAAGACUACUUAUGAGCACACAUAUGGACCUUGGGGACUGCAAAU